rnacentral:rRNA from 1 species
GACGAACGCUGGCGGCGUGCUUAACACAUGCAAGUCGAACGGAAAGGCCCUGCUUGCAGGGUACUCGAGUGGCGAACGGGUGAGUAACACGUGGGUGAUCUGCCCUGCACUUCGGGAUAAGCCUGUGAAACUGGGUCUAAUACCGGAUAGGAGCCAUUUUUAGUGUGAUGGUUGGAAAGUUUUUUCGGGGUAGGAUGAGCUCGCGGCCUAUCAGCUUGUUGGUGGGGUAAUGGCCUACCAAGGCGGCGACGGGUAGCCGGCCUGAGAGGGUGGACGGCCACAUUGGGACUGAGAUACGGCCCAGACUCCUACGGGAGGCAGCAGUGGGGAAUAUUGCACAAUGGGCGCAAGCCUGAUGCAGCGACGCCGCGUGGGGGAUGACGGCCUUCGGGUUGUAAACUCCUUUCGCUAGGGACGAAGCUUUUUGUGACGGUACCUAGAUAAGAAGCACCGGCUAACUACGUG